UACGUAGGGGGCAAGCGUUGUCCGGAAUCAUUGGGCGUAAAGCGCGUGUAGGUGGUUCGGUAAGUCUGCUGUGAAAGUCCAGGGCUCAACCCUGGGAUGCCGGUGGAUACUGUCGGGCUAGAGUGCGGAAGAGGCGAGUGGAAUUCCCGGUGUAGCGGUGAAAUGCGCAGAUAUCGGGAGGAACACCAAUUGCGAAGGCAGCUCGCUGGGACGUAACUGACGCUGAGGAGCGAAAGCGUGGGGAGCGAACAGG
rnacentral:rRNA from 1 species